UUUAUUUAAUAGUGAUGCUAUUGACAAAAUUUUAGUUGUAUUAAAUACACAUAAUGAUGUUCUUGUGAUUAUUGCAGUAUUUUAGUGAUUUUUGGGACUUCGAAAGUUAUGGGAAAUAUUGUACUCCUGAUCGCAUAUGGAUGGUAUUUUUCACUGUGUGAGCAAUAUACUUCAUGUAGUUAUUACACUUGCAGAUCAACGAAACUCUCGACUUCUUUAUGAGCAGUCGGGUGGAUACAUCUCUCAAUAUGUUCGUAAUCUCAGAGAGCGUCUAAAGCGAGCAAUCCGAUGAUAGCUUUAUGCUCGACGACAUUGGAAUGACGAAGAUUGGAUCAAUGCGAAAUUAGCUCAAAUUCAGAAUACGGAUACAGAAGAUGACGUUUUAUUUCGUGAGUGAGCCAUCCAUCAAUUUGUGUCAACAAGAACAGUCCCAAAGCAUCCAAGAAAGUACCAGUGUCUCUAUUACUGACUUGAUUAUAUAAAUCAUGCUAUUUAUUUAAUAAUUUCAAGUAAUACUAACUACAUUUAUAGCAAUUAAAAUAUAUGUCCGAGCUUAUAUUUUCAUUGUUAUGUAUAUAUAACUGGUGGGUAUUACCUGUUAGCCUGCCCCAGAGUCACCGAUGCCAAGCCCUGUUCCCAAAGUAUAACAGAAACUCUGCUUUGAAGCCUUAUGAUGAAAUGGGAUUCUUACUGUCAAGACCUGAUGAAGCAUUACAAGGAUCCCACAGAGAGCUUAAGUAUUUUAUGGACAUAAAUAUAAUAAUGGAAGUGCCUAGCCCUGUUGCAGUGCACUGCUCUACAAAAAUAAAACAAAUCAUAGAAACUAAA